UCCUGUCAUAUGGCAUAACAUAACCUACAAAAGUAAACAAAUGUAAUUUAAAUUUUUAAUAACAUUAUUCUUUUAUCAAAUACAGUUAGAAUUGCUGAACUACAUAAUUGAAAUGCCGCCUAAAAAGCAGCCAGAGAAAGGAAAGGCAGGCGGGAGUGGCAAAGGUGGUGGAAAAUCCGGCGGGGAUGCUAAAGAAUCGGCCGGCAAAGAGAAAAAGGGUGGAACUGCUGUCAAAGUACGUCACAUACUGUGCGAAAAACAGUCAAAAUGCAUGGAGGCUUUAGAAAAAUUAAAAGCUGGGCAAAAGUUUCCUGAUGUAGCUGCGGCCUACAGUGAGGACAAGGCGCGCCAGGGCGGCGACCUCGGCUGGCAGAUCCGCGGCGCCAUGGUGGGACCCUUCCAGGACGCCGCAUUCGCCCUCCCCAUCUCUACAGUAGCUAACCCUGUCUACACUGACCCACCCAUCAAAACUAAAUUUGGCUAUCACAUUAUAAUGGUUGAAGGCAAAAAAUGAAUGAAAUGGUGUUUGAACUUGAAUAUUUUUGGGCCAUACUGCUGCUGUUUGUGAUGGAGCGGAUAUGCUGCCUGCAGGAGCAGUUCGAUAAAGACUUUGUUACUUUGCCUGACCCACAAUAUUCUACCGAGUCUUUCAAUGAAGACAUUGAUGAGUUUUCUAACAAAGAUUCUGGUCUGAAGCUGAGUUUCUUGCGUCUGUGUCAGCUGAUGCAUGUGAUGAUGCUCCUGGCACUAGUCUACUUCUGCAAUUUCUGCCUCUGGUUCAUUAUGUCCAAGAAAUCUUUGCCCAGACAGCUACGGUACAAAUUCAGAAUAACUAUGCCUACUGCCUAGCAAGUGACUUAAUUAAUAAACCUUUCCUAAGUCAUUUUAA